rnacentral:rRNA from 2 species
UAAACGACUCUCGGCAACGGAUAUCUCGGCUCACGCAUCGAUGAAGAACGUAGCAAAAUGCGAUACUUGGUGUGAAUUGCAGAAUCCCGUGAACCAUCGAGUUUUUGAACGCAAGUUGCGCCCGAAGCCAUUUGGUUGAGGGCACGUCUGCCUGGGCGUCACGC